ensembl:snRNA U6 U6 spliceosomal RNA
GUGUUCGCUUUGGCAGCAUGUAGACUAAAAGUUGGAACAAUACAGAGAAGAUUUAGCAUGGCCCCUGCACAAGGAUGCAUGAAACUCAUGAAGCGUUCCAAAAGAGA